GACGAACGCUGGCGGCGUGCUUAACACAUGCAAGUCGAACGGAAAGGCCUGCUUUCCCUUGUGGAUUGCGGGUACUCGAGUGGCGAACGGGUGAGUAACACGUGAGUGAUCUGCCCCCAACUUGGGUAUAAGCCUGGGAAACUGGGUCUAAUUCCCGAUAGGACUGCAGGGUGGUGCCUGUGGUGGAAAACGAUUUUCUAGUGGUUGGGGAUGAGCUCGCGGCCUAUCAGCUUGUUGGUGGGGUAACGGCCUACCAAGGCGGCGACGGGUAGCCGGCCUGAGGGGGUGGACGGCCACAUUGGGACUGGGAUACGGCCCAGACUCCUACGGGAGGCAGCAGUGGGGAAUAUUGCACAAUGGGCGGAAGCCUGAUGCAGCGACGCCGCGUGGGGGAUGACGGCCUUCGGGUUGUAAACUCCUUUCGACCGCGAGGAAGCCACCUGGUUGGAGGGGUGGUGACGGUAGUGGUAGAAGAAGCACCGGCUAACUACGUG
rnacentral:rRNA from 1 species